rnacentral:rRNA from 1 species
UGCGUAGGCGGCGGCAUAAGUCAGAAGUGAAAGUUGGCAGCUUAACUGCAAAAUUGCUUUGAUACUGUGUUGCUUGAAUCACGUUGAGGCUGGCGGAAUGUGGCAUGUAGCGGUGAAAUGCUUAGAUAUGCCAUAGAACACCAAUUGCGAAGGCAGCUGGCUAGACGUGUAUUGACGCUGAGGCACGAAAGCGUGGGGAGUGAACAGGAUUAGAUACCCUGGUAGUCC